UUUCAGUUUGAUCAAAACCGCUUUCUGACCAAGUAGUUACAGGAACGUAGUUAUAGGAAGAGUCCACUUCUAAACAGUUCUACUAACUACUGGUAGCCAUAGGAACUGGUAGGUGGGGUAAGAGA